rnacentral:rRNA from 1 species
GGCUGAGAACUAUGAUCUCAUCUGCAGCGACCUUGCUUCUUUCAGCAAGCUUCCUAACUUCUGCUGCCACAACAGCAAAUCCUUUACCGUGUUCUCCUGCCCGUGCCGCUUCAACGGCUGCAUUCAGGGCCAAAAUAUUGGUC